GAAAAAUUAGCGGAUGACUUGUGGCUGGGGGUGAAAGGCCAAUCAAACCGGGAGAUAGCUGGUUCUCCCCGAAAGCUAUUUAGGUAGCGCCUCGUGAAUUCAUCUCCGGGGGUAGAGCACUGUUUCGGCAAGGGGGUCAUCCCGACUUACCAACCCGAUGCAAACUGCGAAUACCGGAGAAUGUUAUCACGGGAGACACACGGCGGGUGCUAACGUCCGUCGUGAAGAGGGAAACAACCCAGACCGCCAGCUAAGGUCCCAAAGUCAUGGUUAAGUGGGAAACGAUGUGGGAAGGCCCAGACAGCCAGGAUGUUGGCUUAGAAGCAGCCAUCAUUUAAAGAAAGCGUAAUAGCUCACUGGUCGAGUCGGCCUGCGCGGAAGAUGUAACGGGGCUAAACCAUGCACCGAAGCUGCGGCAGCGACGCUGAUGCGUUGUUGGGUAGGGGAGCGUUCUGUAAGCCUGCGAAGGUGUGCUGUGAGGCAUGCUGGAGGUAUCAGAAGUGCGAAUGCUGACAUAAGUAACGAUAAAGCGGGUGAAAAGCCCGCUCGCCGGAAGACCAAGGGUUCCUGUCCAACGUUAAUCGGGGCAGGGUGAGUCGACCCCUAAGGCGAGGCCGAAAGGCGUAGUCGAUGGGAAACAGGUUAAUAUUCCUGUACUUGGUGUUACUGCGAAGGGGGGACGGAGAAGGCUAUGUUGGCCGGGCGACGGUUGUCCCGGUUUAAGCGUGUAGGCUGGUUUUCCAGGCAAAUCCGGAAAAUCAAGGCUGAGGCGUGAUGACGAGGCACUACGGUGCUGAAGCAACAAAUGCCCUGCUUCCAGGAAAAGCCUCUAAGCAUCAGGUAACAUCAAAUCGUACCCCAAACCGACACAGGUGGUCAGGUAGAGAAUACCAAGGCGCUUGAGAGAACUCGGGUGAAGGAACUAGGCAAAAUGGUGCCGUAACUUCGGGAGAAGGCACGCUGAUAUGUAGGUGAAGCGACUUGCUCGUGGAGCUGAAAUCAGUCGAAGAUACCAGCUGGCUGCAACUGUUUAUUAAAAACACAGCACUGUGCAAACACGAAAGUGGACGUAUACGGUGUGACGCCUGCCCGGUGC
rnacentral:rRNA from 1 species